UGCCACCAUAGUGUUACCUGCUCACUUGUCAGCUGUUUGGACCAUUGUGAAGAUUGCACAGGACCUGUCUCCAGUCUAAAAUGGCUUGGUCUCACAUGCAAAUUGUGUUCAAGAUCCUGGCACAAAUCCUGCUUUUUCAAGAAGAAUCAGUCGCUGGAUGUUAUACCCGAUGAGAUUGUUUCUGACUCUGCAAGUAGUGAUGGCUGUUCCUCUGGUGAUCUCUACAUAGCUGACACUGCACCAAGGUCUGAUGGAUCCAACUCUGAUGAAGAUGUUGUAACUGACACUGAACUAUUUAGUGAUAGUGAGGAUCUAAACCUACCACAUCGCAAGAGUGGACCAGUUGACUCACUUUCUUCCCAGGAAAGGACAAAGACAGUCCUGCAACCUAUAUCCUGCAU